UUCCCGAUACAUUUUCAAAGUAUCAGCCUAAUAUAAAUAUCUGCUAACAGUUCACGUCCUCCAGAUCCAGGUUUCGUGUUGAACUAGCUGUCGAUGACGGAAAGGACAGUGCCACUUUUGUGGUCUUUGCCAAAGAGAUGACAAAACUCAUCAAGAAAGAGGCAACAAAUCUGGCUCUUGAGGAAUGAGGAAUAUCUUGAGGAUCUAGCUGGCUAUGAAUAUGUUUCUCAGCUACGUGUGACUCCCUACAAUUUCAUUCCAAAUCACCGUACGUUCAUGUUCACCGUCUCAGCAAUUAGUGAAGACCUCUUAUUUGGCACUCAGGCAGGGUGACAUCAGCAACCCACCUCCAGUCGUGGAUAUGGAAUCUGGAGAAGCAACAGAAUCUGCCAACACCAUGGGUUGGUGGAGAUAUCACCGGGAGUUGGUGAAGCAAGUCUGACAGGUUAUGCAGCCAACGAGAACAAACGUCCCUGGAACCGUUAGACAUAGAGAUCGACAAAGCUUAUGAAUAGAAGCCUAAACUGGAGCAAUAUUUGAAGAUCAUCUGUCAAUAUAGCUUCAAUCUCAAGAUCAUCUCUAUGUUGAAGGAUAUAUAUUUCAAAUCAGAGAUGAAAAAGAAUCUCUAUAGAAGGUGUUGAUUAAACAUGCAAGAUCAUCAAUGGCUGUCAAGCUCACCUCGUAACAAAAGUUAAGCGAAGAAGUCGAAUAGAUUCCAACAUAUAUGAGUCGAGAUAGUUAGAAUCAACAUACGAAUAAAGCUCUGGAGUUCUUUAUACAGGAGCAACUGAUACGAAACAGUGAAGACAAAGAGGAAGAAAGGUAGAGAGAUAAUUAGACGAUGUAGAACGAAUCUCUAUAGAUGAUAAGCAGAAAUGUUUUAACAGUGGCAAAAGAGAGACCAUAUUGGAUUAACUGGGCAGAUCUCCACCAAGAUGAUGCCUAAGCUCACAUAGACAUUGAUCAUAUAUUGGACUAACUGUGCUGGUUAUUUGAUCUAGUUAAUUAUAUUUCAGUCUUUCUUUUUACUCUUUGGGUAUGAACUAACAUAUUAGUAAUCUUCACAAUAUCUGCGUCUUUUUUUAGCCAGAAAGAUAUAUGUUGGAAAAGAAAGAAUGUACAUCCGUGUGUCAGUGUGUGUUGAAGAUCAAACACACAUAUUCCAAACAUAUCACAGAAAAAAGGUUAGAAAUCUACUUUCGCCUUGGUAGUACUCAAAUUAAAAUAAAGUUAGUAAUAAAAAGAAAUCAAUUUCGAAACAGCAUCGGUUAGAACUAAGAUUGAACAUUUGCCUUAUAAUUUAUUUUUGGCUUGUCACUGAUUAUUGCUUGCUUAAUGGUACUUGAAUUUCUGUGUUUGAUAUAAUAUUGGAUGGUAAUUUUUAGUUUAUCUAAAAAAUGAAUACUUAGAAAAAUAAAAUACUUCACUAAAAUAUAAAUGUUGCUAAAACGAAAGAAUGAAAUCAGUUCGAGUUCCUUCUAAAAAUACAAUCCAGAUCCUUGCUUUAGUGAAAUCUGCAAUAAUCAAAUAAUUUAUUAGAUAAAAAAUAGGUGAUAUCAAUAGUCAUUUAGAUAGUAACUCAUGUAAAUAAAUAAUUCCAUUGCAGAAACCAACAUGUUUCAAUAUAUAUAGAGAUAGAAAAGUUACUUGUUGAUCUGUGAGGAUGCACUCAAGAGAUUCGCCAAAGUUGGUGUUUGAUUUCCACGAGUGAAAGACCUUGACGUGUACCCUCCAAUUGUCUUUGUAGGGUUUCACUUCGUUGAGGAAAACAAAACUUUGCUUGUUAGACAUUUUUUUUCUCUGCUUAAAUUUCUGAGUAAGAGCUGAAGGGUGAUUUAUAUAGAUUGGUAAUGCGUGCCUAUUCGGCAUACCUAGAUUUUGUAUAUUAAUUACAAAUUUAAUACCUAGAUUUUGUGGAAACUAUCACGCAAAAAAUAUGCAUAAGAUUUUACAUUGUAGGCGAAUUUAGGUAAAUUAGUUAUUAUACUUGAGAAUAAUCUAUAAAUAAUACGCAUAAGAUAAUACAUUAUAGGGAAAUAUAGGUAAAUUAGUUGUGAUACUUCGAUUAUUCCAUAUUUUUAAUAACAAAUAUUUUGGGCUAGAUAAUAAAGAAAAUUGUAUUAUCUAGAGUAGAUUUUGUCAAGUAGUUAAGUAAUAUAUUUGAUGCAAUUAAUUCAAACUUGGUGAGCAAUUCACGAUGCACAAUGACUAUCAAAUUUGUUCAUCUUUAAUUAGUUAUGGUCGACAUGCCAUUUCCCUGAUCAAACAUGAUUGUUCAAGCAAAAUGCGUUUUGAGGAUUCAUUAUCAAACACUGCAUAUUAUUGUUGCACUGCCAUGAUCAAAUAAUGUUGUUUUUCUAAAAUGAAAUUCAGAUUUCGAUAAAAACAUUGUGCAGGGAUAAGCUGGAUAAAGAUCGAGUGACAAAUCAUAUAUAAACACACAAAAAAAUGUAUUUGAAACAGCACGUUGAUGACAAACAUAAUUGAUAUGAAUUUCUGUUAUGAAGCUCUCUUUUUUAUAUAGGGAAGAGAAUCAAGUGGAGUGAGAUAUCGAAGUCAAGUUAUGUAUAUGGAACGCAGGAAUUUAUUAGAUUCGUUUGUUUUUAAAUUAUUUACGUACAUUUUUUGGUUAAUUAAAAGAGUAAUAAUAUCAAUUUGUAUGCUAUUCAUGUUCCCAAUCAAAAUUCUUUUUUUUCCUA